AAGAAGACCGAGGAAAAAAUUCUGCUUUGAAAACAGAGAACAGGACGUUCAACUCGUCCAUCUUCUUC
rnacentral:tRNA from 1 species